CAAAGAUAUUAGGGGGAAAUAAACACUGUACCCAAAUCCACGUUUUACAAUGCUCCUGGGAAAUGGGUAGGCCUCCACCUAUAGUCCUUCACAGUUUUACAGCUGUGAUAUAUUUAUUUAUUUACAUAGAUCACAUACAUAAAUAAAUAUGUUAGCUGUAGGUAGCGUUGAGAUAAAAUUCCCAUAUUCUAUUGCUACUAACAUAAAUCCUAAUAUAUCAUGUUUUCCUCAUUUGCUCUGUAGGAGGUUCGUCAUAUGAAGGACAUUCAAGUGGAUGUGACCCCUAACCUGCAAUAGGGGCUCAGUGAGGUGACAGACAUCCUGUAAUGGAUCUCCAGCUAGUGUCUGAGGACCUGGAGAAGGCUGUGUCUACAGCUGUGGGGCAGGACAAGCAUGGCGUACCACAGUCACCACCAUGCUAUGGAGGUCCUGGUUCAGUCUCUGCUGGAUCUAGACGUGAGGGACAGCCAGGGGCGCACCCCUCUGGACCUGGCUGCCUUAAAAAGCCAUGUGUGUGCCGUGUGUUGACGUCCUCAUCAACCAGGAAGCCUCCAUCCUGGUUAAAGACUUCACUCUGAAGAGGACCCCCAUCCACACUGCAGGUAGACAUAAGGAUAUCACAUAGAGCUUCUGUAAUUAAAACGUUUUCCUGACCAAGAUGGCCAUUUGUUUGGUCAUGUUGCUAGGAUGACAAUGUCCACUCUAGGGAUGUUACAUGGUAUCGUGUGAAAAUGCCCACUAGACACUGAUCUAAGGUCCUUUUUUGUAAUGUUCUCCACUAAUGAUUGAGGAUCUAGGGAGGGUAAGCUGAUCCAAGAUCAGUUUCAUUUAAGUUUCAUGAGAGUGAUUGUCAUGUUUAUCCGCACACUAAGACAGUCAGAACGCCACUAGCCUCUUGUCUGUAAUCCAUGUGGGAGGAGGGGAAAUCAUACAUUUUAUAUGAACAAAUAUUUUAAUAAAAUCAUUCAUGUCUUAAGCUCUGUGGGAAUAAAAAAAUGGUACCAUUUGCUCUGAUGAGUAAUUGUAAAGAUUUAAUGCAUCCCAAAUGGAACCCUAUACUGAAUAGUACACUACUGUUGAACAGGGUCCAUAGGGUUCUGGUCAAAAGCAGUGCCAUUUAGGAUGCUGGUAUGUGAGCAACACAACUAUUUGAAGGGACCUAUUACAUUAUUAAACCUACCUGUCCUUUGGCCUCUAGAAAGUAUUUUAGAAAGUUAAUAAUUAAUUCAUGUUUUCUUUCUUGUGAUAUUUGUCAUGUUGUGCCUUCGUUAGUUACUGAGGGGAGGUUAGGAGAGUAGGGGCACCUGUAUGAGCGACAACAAUGAUGCACACUAAGUACUACAACGUUUGUGAAAAGCACUGAUACUAUCCAGAGGCAUGUGAGGUGGAAAACAUGUCUCCCUUGGAGAGGAGAAACAUUGUAAACCAAUGGUAGGACAGCAGCAUUUAGAUUUUCUUCUGUUGGAAAAUAAAUAUCGCUAUUAUUUGUCUUUGGUCUUAUAAUCAAUGUUUUUUAACAGGUGUUGCUUGCUUUAACUUCUUCAAAAAAUGAAACCUCUCAAUCCUUGUAUGUGAUUGAAUGUUCAUAUCCCCGUUUUUGUCUCUUUUUGAAAAUCAUUUUAACUGGAAAUAUGUGCAAUACAUUUGCUAUGUUCACCAAAUCAGCAACAAGAGAUUCACAGGUUCACAGGUUUUUCGUGUCAUUAUCAUUCUUUUAAACGGAUGAAACUAGCAUGUACAUAUGAAAUGGUGACUGAAUUCGAAACUCCCAUGAAUUCUUUCAGUAUCUGAAGUUUGCUGUAUAUUUUAUGAGUAAUAAAUGUUAUUUAAU
rnacentral:lncRNA from 13 species